GUCAAAGAUGCUGAAAAUUAGACAUAUUUAGUGAAGUUUAGAGCUGUCUCAUCCCAGGUCAGUCACGCAGCCACAGUGUAUAACAUCAAUAACAUAGGUACCUGAUGUACUUACCUGAUUCCUAUGGCAGGUGCUGCUUUGAGAGAGUCAUACUGACCACUAUGGACAGUAAGACUCUCUCAAAGCAGCACCUGCCAUAGAGACUGAUAGAAGAUGCAAUGAAUUUACUCAUGUGGAUUAAUGUACAACUUUGAACAUGAAAUGACAGUUUAAAUCCAGUAGGGGUUUCAUGCCGUCUUACUUACAGGUUACAAUGUUGCGCCAACAGCCACAGAAAAACAUUGAAUUUAGUAAAAAGUAACAAACGUGUAAUGUACAUUAUGAUAACUCCAGUGUAAUUGAAAGAGUACGGCCCUGUGUAUCCGAUAUUCUGAUAGUUAUCAGACGUUAAGUUAGCUACUUUGUACUGUAAGGUUAAUAUGCUAAUGUACUGUAACGGCUACUUUGUAGUCUAUGAAAACGGAACAACUGACAAAUACUAACAAAAAUGGCAUUUAUACUGACUUCAUCUCAUUGCUUUUAUAUAACCGCUACCAACGCAACUAACAGGUUUAAUGACCUUACCUCUAUCCCCGCAUUUAAAUUGUUUUUGAAUAUAUCCUCUCCGUGACAUGCACAAAAACUUCGUCCCGACAGCCAUGUUUACUAUCUUCCUCUUCUUCAUCGACCGGAUGAUUGGAUAUGUAGUUUAUUUGGUGUUAUUGGUGGUUGGCAAACAGCUUGCCGGCACAUUACCGCCAACUAUUGACACAGGGUACAAACUACAGUCUUUAAGACAAGUAAUAGAUUUACAGUAAAGGUAAUAUUUAAAACAGUUUUAGCCCUCCUACUGUGCUGUUGUCCUGGGUAAAAAUUCUCAGCCCUGGUCAGUUUAACAGGAAACUCAUAUUCCAAUGUGAAUGCUGAUGUAAGCAACUUAAACAUGUUUAAUGAGCACUUUGACGGGCAUUAACACAAUUUGUCUCUAUUUUCAGGAUGUCUCUGCAUACAAUUUUCGCCCAGAGUUCUAC